rnacentral:rRNA from 1 species
AGUGAACGCUGGCGGCAGGCCUAACACAUGCAAGUCGAACGGCAGCACAGGGGUAGCAAUACCCUGGGUGGCGAGUGGCGGACGGGUGAGGAAUACGUCGGAAUCUGCCUAUUUGUGGGGGAUAACGUAGGGAAACUUACGCUAAUACCGCAUACGACCUACGGGUGAAAGCGGAGGACCUCGGCGUUCGCGCAGAUAGAUGAGCCGACGUCGGAUUAG